ACCUUCUCGUCUCUCUGCUCCUCAAUCUCUCUCAGCUGUCUCAUUGUGCUUCGCACGACGUAAUGGUUUUGGAUUAAACUAUGUCGUUUUGGUUCCCGCACGGAUGACCUUCCUUCCCCUUACCUUCAAUCUUCAUUCCAAACCCCUAUCUUAACAGCUUCUCCCCAAAUCAAAAAAGAAAGUUGAAACAGGAAACCCUAGCUUCUCCACCACUGCCGCAAGGACUGCCGCCGUCCGUCGCUCUCAGGCACUACCAUCAUCGUCUGGUUGUCCGUGCUUCUUCCUCCUUCAAGAAUCGCAGCUUCUUCUUCCUCGAGCUCGGCGCGUCAGUUUCUGGUAUUCAUCUGCUCUAUCGCGCUCCUGCCGCCGUCCGUCGGGCGCUCAGUCACCAUCGUCUUUGUCUGGUCGUCGCAGAUUCUUCUAACCCACCACCGUCUUCUGAGUUGUGUUCGUCGCCUGGCCUCUGUCUCUGUCACGAUUCUGCCUCCCUCUUCUCAGACUGCUCAGAAGAAAAACCCAUCUCCAUUCCAGUUUCCUUCCUUCGAGUUCCGAGAGCAGAAGCUCAACCAAGAAAAAAACCAUAGACUUCGACGGUUGCGGUAUUAUACUUUCAUGAUAAAUUUACAUGGGUGAAAGGACUCGGUCUCUGCACUAUUCUGUUUGGUGUCAGUUUAUUCAACUAGUACAAAUAUCUGAAGCUUCAGAAGGCCAUUUUGGUGAAGGCGAGGUGGCAGUGCUUCACACAACAGAUUCUGAUGGCAAAUAUGUUAUUCUUGAGGAGAUGGAUGAGCAGGAUAUCUGAAACCUUCAUAGCAACAUCUUCAAAGGUUGGAGAAGGGACCUUCUCAGUUUCUUAGUUGAUUACACCAACAAAAACGGAGACAUGGAUAUUAUUUGAACUUGUAUCUGUGUGUUGUUGUCACAUAUCUUUUAAGAGGGACAAAAUUGAAGAAGCUUUAAGGCUGGCAGAUUUAUCAGCUGAGAAGCCUCAUUUUUCACAUUGUCUAGAGUGGCUUCUUUUUACGGUAUUUGAAGCAGAUAUAUCCAGGCCUAAUGCAAACAAGAACCAGCUCUCAGUUCCCAAACAUGCCAAAAGAUCGCUUUUGGAGAAAACAUGUGAUCUUAUCAGGAAUUUUUCGGAGUACCUUGAUGUUGUUGUAAGUGUUGCAAGAAAAACUGAUGGUUGUCAUUGGACAGAUUUGCUUUGAGCAUUGGGAUGGCUGAGAAGCGAAAUUUGUGGUGAAUAGGGAGAGGAAGUAUCUAGGGUUUGAAGACAAUCGACUGAAAACUGCAUAAUGAAAUUUCAGGGUUUGCAUAUGAAGUUUAGGAAGGAGAAUGUUCCAAUUUUGCAUAAUUGACAUUUGACAGUGACACUUUUAAGGAUAAUGAUAUACCCAGUCGUACUGCACUUUUAAGGAUCACACUCACAUGUAUUUUUAUGGACUAAAUAGCGAGCUUAUUAUCGACAGUAUUUAUUUAUUUAUGUACUUCAAAUCGUCUAACAGUUUUUGGAUGGAAGUUCAAAACACAACAAUAAUAAAAGGUUGAGUCCUUACAUAUUGGACUAAAAUCCUCCCUA